rnacentral:rRNA from 1 species
CGUUAAGGAGAUCUUUUGGCACCUCUAAAAAUGGUGCAGAAUAAGGGGUGGGCAAGUCUGGUGUCNGCCGCCGCGGUAAUACCAGCACCCCGAGUGGUCGGGACGUUUAUUGGGCCUAAAGCAUCCGUAGCCGGUUCUACAAGUCUUCCGUUAAAUCCACCUGCUUAACAGAUGGGNUGCGGAAGAUACUAUAGAGCUAGGAGGCGGGAGAGGCAAGCGGUACUCGAUGGGUAGGGGUAAAAUCCGUUGAUCCAUUGAAGACCACCAGUGGCGAAGGCGGCUCGCCAGAACGCGUUCGACGGUGAGGGAUGAAAGCUGGGGGAGCAAACCGGAUUAGAUACCCGGGUAGUCCCAGCUGUAAACGAUGCAGACUCGGUGAUGAAUGGCUUA